rnacentral:rRNA from 1 species
AUUGAACGCUGGCGGCAGGCCUAACACAUGCAAGUCGAGCGGAUGAAGGGUGCUUGCUCCUGGUUUCAGCGGCGGACGGGUGAGUAAUGCCUAGGAAUCUGCCUGGUAGUGGGGGAUAACGUCUGGAGACGGGCGCUAAUACCGCAUACGUCCAGAGGGUGAAAGUGGGGGGUCUUCGGACCUCACGCUAUCAGGUGAGCCUAGGUCGGAUUAGCUAGUUGGUGGGGUAAGGGCCUACCAAGGCGACGAUCCGUAACUGGUCUGAUAGGAUGAUCAGUCACACUGGAACUGAGACACGGUCCAGACUCCUACGGGAGGCAGCAGUGGGGAAUAUUGGACAGUGGGCGAAAGCCUGAUCCAGCCAUGCCGCGUGUGUGAAGAAGGUCUUCGGAUUGUAAAGCACUUUAAGUGGGGAGGAAGGGCAGUAAGUUAAUACCUUGCUGUUUUGACGUUACCAACAGAAUAAGCACCGGCUAACUUCGUG